UUAAGCGACUAAGCGUACACGGUGGAUGCCCUGGCAGUCAGAGGCGAUGAAGGACGUGCUAAUCUGCGAUAAGCGUCGGUAAGGUGAUAUGAACCGUUAUAACCGGCGAUUUCCGAAUGGGGAAACCCAGUGUGUUUCGACACACUAUCAUUAACUGAAUCCAUAGGUUAAUGAGGCGAACCGGGGGAACUGAAACAUCUAAGUACCCCGAGGAAAAGAAAUCAACCGAGAUUCCCCCAGUAGCGGCGAGCGAACGGGGAGCAGCCCAGAGCCUGAAUCAGUGUGUGUGUUAGUGGAAGCGUCUGGAAAGGCGUGCGAUACAGGGUGACAGCCCCGUACACAAAAAUGCACAUGCUGUGAGCUCGAUGAGUAGGGCGGGACACGUGGUAUCCUGUCUGAAUAUGGGGGGACCAUCCUCCAAGGCUAAAUACUCCUGACUGACCGAUAGUGAACCAGUACCGUGAGGGAAAGGCGAAAAGAACCCCGGCGAGGGGAGUGAAAAAGAACCUGAAACCGUGUACGUACAAGCAGUGGGAGCACGCUUAGGCGUGUGACUGCGUACCUUUUGUAUAAUGGGUCAGCGACUUAUAUUCUGUAGCAAGGUUAACCGAAUAGGGGAGCCGAAGGGAAACCGAGUCUUAACUGGGCGUUAAGUUGCAGGGUAUAGACCCGAAACCCGGUGAUCUAGCCAUGGGCAGGUUGAAGGUUGGAUAACACUAACUGGAGGACCGAACCGACUAAUGUUGAAAAAUUAGCGGAUGACUUGUGGCUGGGGGUGAAAGGCCAAUCAAACCGGGAGAUAGCUGGUUCUCCCCGAAAGCUAUUUAGGUAGCGCCUCGUGAAUUCAUCUCCGGGGGUAGAGCACUGUUUCGGCAAGGGGGUCAUCCCGACUUACCAACCCGAUGCAAACUGCGAAUACCGGAGAAUGUUAUCACGGGAGACACACGGCGGGUGCUAACGUCCGUCGUGAAGAGGGAAACAACCCAGACCGCCAGCUAAGGUCCCAAAGUCAUGGUUAAGUGGGAAACGAUGUGGGAAGGCCCAGACAGCCAGGAUGUUGGCUUAGAAGCAGCCAUCAUUUAAAGAAAGCGUAAUAGCUCACUGGUCGAGUCGGCCUGCGCGGAAGAUGUAACGGGGCUAAACCAUGCACCGAAGCUGCGGCAGCGACGCUGAUGCGUUGUUGGGUAGGGGAGCGUUCUGUAAGCCUGCGAAGGUGUGCUGUGAGGCAUGCUGGAGGUAUCAGAAGUGCGAAUGCUGACAUAAGUAACGAUAAAGCGGGUGAAAAGCCCGCUCGCCGGAAGACCAAGGGUUCCUGUCCAACGUUAAUCGGGGCAGGGUGAGUCGACCCCUAAGGCGAGGCCGAAAGGCGUAGUCGAUGGGAAACAGGUUAAUAUUCCUGUACUUGGUGUUACUGCGAAGGGGGGACGGAGAAGGCUAUGUUGGCCGGGCGACGGUUGUCCCGGUUUAAGCGUGUAGGCUGGUUUUCCAGGCAAAUCCGGAAAAUCAAGGCUGAGGCGUGAUGACGAGGCACUACGGUGCUGAAGCAACAAAUGCCCUGCUUCCAGGAAAAGCCUCUAAGCAUCAGGUAACAUCAAAUCGUACCCCAAACCGACACAGGUGGUCAGGUAGAGAAUACCAAGGCGCUUGAGAGAACUCGGGUGAAGGAACUAGGCAAAAUGGUGCCGUAACUUCGGGAGAAGGCACGCUGAUAUGUAGGUGAAGUCCCUCGCGGAUGGAGCUGAAAUCAGUCGAAGAUACCAGCUGGCUGCAACUGUUUAUUAAAAACACAGCACUGUGCAAACACGAAAGUGGACGUAUACGGUGUGACGCCUGCCCGGUGCCGGAAGGUUAAUUGAUGGGGUCAGCGCAAGCGAAGCUCUUGAUCGAAGCCCCGGUAAACGGCGGCCGUAACUAUAACGGUCCUAAGGUAGCGAAAUUCCUUGUCGGGUAAGUUCCGACCUGCACGAAUGGCGUAAUGAUGGCCAGGCUGUCUCCACCCGAGACUCAGUGAAAUUGAACUCGCUGUGAAGAUGCAGUGUACCCGCGGCAAGACGGAAGACCCCGUGAACCUUUACUAUAGCUUGACACUGAACAUUGAGCCUUGAUGUGUAGGAUAGGUGGGAGGCUUUGAAGUGUGGACGCCAGUCUGCAUGGAGCCGACCUUGAAAUACCACCCUUUAAUGUUUGAUGUUCUAACGUGGACCCGUGAUCCGGGUUGCGGACAGUGUCUGGUGGGUAGUUUGACUGGGGCGGUCUCCUCCUAAAGAGUAACGGAGGAGCACGAAGUUGGCUAAUCCUGUCGGACAUCAGGAGGUUAGUGCAAUGGCAUAAGCCAGCUUGACUGCGAGCGUGACGGCGCGAGCAGGUGCGAAAGCAGGUCAUAGUGAUCCGGUGGUUCUGAAUGGAAGGGCCAUCGCUCAACGGAUAAAAGGUACUCCGGGGAUAACAGGCUGAUACCGCCCAAGAGUUCAUAUCGACGGCGGUGUUUGGCACCUCGAUGU
rnacentral:rRNA from 1 species